rnacentral:sRNA from 1 species
UAUUGCCCCAGAUGGUCGUGAAAAGCCUUUUUAGAGCAAAAGGAAUUUUUUCUUGGGCUUAAAAAGCGACUGAAAGAAGCUCUUUUAAGACCUUAGAAAAAAGCGUUUUGCACAAAAAGCUUGCAACAACAGCUGGAUUUAGG